rnacentral:rRNA from 1 species
AUUGAACGCUGGCGGCAGGCUUAACACAUGCAAGUCGAGCGGGGUGAUGGUGCUUGCACUAUCACUUAGCGGCGGACGGGUGAGUAAUGCUUAGGAAUCUGCCUAUUAGUGGGGGACAACAUCUCGAAAGGGAUGCUAAUACCGCAUACGUCCUACGGGAGAAAGCAGGGGAUCACUUGUGACCUUGCGCUAAUAGAUGAGCCUAAGUCGGAUUAGCUAGUUGGUGGGGUAAAGGACUACCAAGGCGACGAUCUGUAGCGGGUCUGAGAGGAUGAUCCACCACACUGGGAAUGAGACACGGCCCAGACUCCUACGGGAGGCAGCAGUGGGGAAUAUUGGACAAUGGGGGGAACCCUGAUCCAGCCAUGCCGCGUGUGUGAAGAAGGCCUUAUGGUUGUAAAGCACUUUAAGCGAGGAGGAGGCUCUUUUGGUUAAUACCCAAGAUGAGUGGACGUUACUCGCAGAAUAAGCACCGGCUAACUCUGUGCCAGCCGCCGCAGUAA